GACUUCCGUGCACUAAUCCCUGGCCUUAAUCCGCACUGGAAAUACACCCUAAGAGAUGGGGCAAUCCUGUGUGAAGAGCGCGAUUUGCGCUUCCCAUCGAAAGGGAAAAGGGUUAGGAUUCCCUUACUUGGACAAGGCGGCUGGCAGACUCGGCCCUGGGAAGAGUUCUCUUUUCAGUCUAACAAUCCGAAGGCCCUGGAAUCGAAUCAUAAGAAGAUAGGGCUCAGAGGUUGGUAAAGCACCGCACUUCUCGCGGUGUCCGGCGCGCCGUUGACGGUCCUUGAAAAUCCGGGGGAGCAUUUCCGAUCUUGCCAAGUCGUACCGCAUCAGGUUUCCAAAAUGAACAGCCUCUAGUC
rnacentral:ncRNA from 1 species